AACGAACGCUGGCGGCAUGCCUAACACAUGCAAGUCGAACGAGACCUUCGGGUCUAGUGGCGCACGGGUGCGUAACGCGUGGGAACCUGCCCUUAGGUUCGGAAUAACUCCCCGAAAGGGGUGCUAAUACCGGAUAAUGUCUUCGGACCAAAGAUUUAUCGCCUUUGGAUGGGCCCGCGUUGGAUUAGCUAGUUGGUAGGGUAAAAGCCUACCAAGGCGACGAUCCAUAGCUGGUCUGAGAGGAUGAUCAGCCACACUGGGACUGAGACACGGCCCAGACUCCUACGGGAGGCAGCAGUAGGGAAUAUUGGGCGAUGGGCGAAAGCCUGAUCCAGCAAUGCCGCGUGAGUGAUGAAGGCCUUAGGGUUGUAAAGCUCUUUUACCCGGGAUGAUAAUGACAGUACCGGGAGAAUAAGCUCCGGCUAACUCCGUG
rnacentral:rRNA from 1 species